ACGGAAGGCAGCAGUGGGGAAUAUUGCACAAUGGAGGAAACUCUGAUGCAGCGACGCCGCGUGAGUGAUGAAGUAUUUCGGUAUGUAAAGCUCUAUCAGUAGGGAAGAUAAUGACGGUACCUAACUAAGAAGCACCGGCUAAAUACGUGCCAGCGGCCGCGGUAAUACGUAUGGUGCAAGCGUUAUCCGGAUUUACUGGGUGUAAAGGGAGCGUAGGUGGUUUGGCAAGCCAGAAGUGAAAACCCGGGGCUCAACCCCGUGGAUUGCUUUUGGAACUGUUGAACUAGAGUGCAGGAGGGGUAAGUGGAAUUCCCAGUGUAGCGGUGAAAUGCGUAGAUAUUAGGAAGAACACCAGUGGCGAAGGCGACUUACUGGACUGUAACUGACACUGAAGUACGAAAGCGUGGGGAGCAAACAGGAUUAGAUACCCUGGUA
rnacentral:rRNA from 1 species